rnacentral:SRP_RNA from 14 species
GGAAGGCAGCAGCGACAGCAUAGCCCGGCGGUGGCGGGA